GCUUGUCUCAAAGAUUAAGCCAUGCAUGUCUAAGUAUAAACAAAAUCUAUACUGUGAAACUGCGAAUGGCUCAUUAAAUCAGUUAUAAUUUAUUUGAUAAUAUCUCUUUACUUGGAUAACCGUAAAAAUUUUAGAGCUAAUACAUGCAAACAAACCCAACCCGGGCAACCGGUCCUUUGGUGAUUCAUGAUAACUUUGCGAAUCGCAUAGCUUUAAUGCUGGCGAUGGGUCAUUCAAAUUUCUGCCCUAUCAACUUUCGACGGUAGGAUAGAGGCCUACUGUGGUGAUAACGGGUAACGAAGAAUAAGGGUUCGAUUUCGGAGAGGGAGCCUGAGAAACGGCUACCACAUCCAAGGAAGGCAGCAGG
rnacentral:rRNA from 1 species